CUACACAUGCAGUCGAGCGGUAGAGAGAAGCUUGCUUCUCUUGAGAGCGGCGGACGGGUGAGUAAUGCCUAGGAAUCUGCCUGGUAGUGGGGGAUAACGUUCGGAAACGGACGCUAAUACCGCAUACGUCCUACGGGAGAAAGCAGGGGACCUUCGGGCCUUGCGCUAUCAGAUGAGCCUAGGUCGGAUUAGCUAGUUGGUGGGGUAAUGGCUCACCAAGGCGACGAUCCGUAACUGGUCUGAGAGGAUGAUCAGUCACACUGGAACUGAGACACGGUCCAGACUCCUACGGGAGGCAGCAGUGGGGAAUAUUGGACAAUGGGCGAAAGCCUGAUCCAGCCAUGCCGCGUGUGUGAAGAAGGUCUUCGGAUUGUAAAGCACUUUAAGUUGGGAGGAAGGGCAGUUACUUAAUACGUGAUUGUUUUGACGUUACCGACAGAAUAAGCACCGGCUAACUCUGUGCCAGCAGCCGCGGUAAUACAGAGGGUGCAAGCGUUAAUCGGAAUUACUGGGCGUAAAGCGCGCGUAGGUGGUUUGUUAAGUUGGAUGUGAAAUCCCCGGGCUCAACCUGGGAACUGCAUUCAAAACUGACUGACUAGAGUAUGGUAGAGGGUGGUGGAAUUUCCUGUGUAGCGGUGAAAUGCGUAGAUAUAGGAAGGAACACCAGUGGCGAAGGCGACCACCUGGACUAAUACUGACACUGAGGUGCGAAAGCGUGGGGAGCAAACAGGAUUAGAUACCCUGGUAGUCCACGCCGUAAACGAUGUCAACUAGCCGUUGGAAGCCUUGAGCUUUUAGUGGCGCAGCUAACGCAUUAAGUUGACCGCCUGGGGAGUACGGCCGCAAGGUUAAAACUCAAAUGAAUUGACGGGGGCAC
rnacentral:rRNA from 1 species